rnacentral:rRNA from 1 species
GUGGGGAAUAUUGCACAAUGGGGGAAACCCUGAUGCAGCAACGCCGCGUGAGUGAAGAAGUGAUUCGUUAUGUAAAGCUCUAUCAGCAGGGAAGAAAAUGACGGUACCUGAGUAAGCAGCCCCGGCUAACUACGUGCCAGCAGCCGCGGUAAUACGUAGGGGGCAAGCGUUAUCCGGAUUUACUGGGUGUAAAGGGAGCGUAGACGGCCAUGCAAGUCUGAAGUGAAAUGCCAGUGCUCAACACUGGAACUGCUUUGGAAACUGUGAGGCUGGAGUGCAGGAGAGGUAAGUGGAAUUCCUAGUGUAGCGGUGAAAUGCGUAGAUAUUAGGAGGAACACCAGUGGCGAAGGCGGCUUACUGGACUGUAACUGACGUUGAGGCUCGAAAGCGUGGGGAGCAAACAGG